rnacentral:rRNA from 1 species
GAUCCUGGCUCAGAAUGAACGCUGGCAGCGUGCUUAACACAUGCAAGUCGAACGAGAAAUCUUUAGCUUGCUAGAGAAAGUAAAGUGGCGCACGGGUGAGUAACGCGUGGGUAAUCUGCCUCCGAAUCGGGGAUAACAUUGCGAAAGCGAUGCUAAUACCGGAUAAAAUCUGGUUGGCUUCGGUGAACCGGAUCAAAGGUGGUCUCUUUAUAAAAGCUACCGUUUGGAGAUGAGCUCGCGUACCAUUAGCUAGUUGGUGAGGUAAAGGCUCACCAAGGCGACGAUGGUUAGCUGGUCUGAGAGGAUGAUCAGCCACACCGGAACUGGAACACGGUCCGGACUCCUACGGGAGGCAGCAGUGAGGAAUUUUGCGCAAUGGGGGAAACCCUGACGCAGCAACGCCGCGUGAGUGAUGAAGGCUUUCGGGUCGUAAAGCUCUGUCAGGUGGGAAGAACCCACCAAGUGUUAAGACCACUUGGUGCUGACGGUACCACCGAAGGAAGCACCGGCUAACUCCGUGCCAGCAGCCGCGGUAAUACGGGGGGUGCGAGCGUUAUUCGGAAUCAUUGGGCGUAAAGGGCGCGCAGGCGGUUUUGUAAGUCAGAUGUGAAAUCCCGGGGCUUAACCCCGGAAGUGCAUAUGAAACUAUGAGACUUGAGUAUGGGAGAGGGAAGCGGAAUUCCUGGUGUAGCGGUGAAAUGCGUAGAUAUCAGGAGGAACACCGGUGGCGAAGGCGGCUUCCUGGACCAAUACUGACGCUGAGGCGCGAAGGCGUGGGGAGCGAACAGGAUUAGAUACCCUGGUAGUCCACGCAGUAAACGUUGAUCACUAGGUGUAGCGGGUAUUGACCCCUGCUGUGCCG